UUUCAAGGAAGGGGGGAAGAACAAGUAACAACCCUAACCCUCACUCAUAUAAUCAAAUCCCAAUAACUCUUGAUCCGAAGCUUCGAUCGCCGCACCGUUUACGGCUAUGCAUUCACCGUGUCGAGCUCUACGAAUCUACCAGAACAAUUUUAUAGCUGCUGAAGGGACCUUCUUUGGUUACUUCUGGACAAAUGGUCAGAUAUGCAUUGCAACUUUUUGCCUUAUUGUUCAUUAUGAAAAAUUAUUGAAGUUUAUCUCAAACGCUAAGAGUGAGGGCGCAACCAUUUUGAUUGGUGGAUCUUGUUCAGAGGUAUGACCAAAUGAUUAUACUUUCUUUGAAAGUGUGGCCAGUUAUGUACUUCUGCAAGUGUCAUGAAUGAUCCCCCUCUCUUUUCACAAAUUUGAUGGUUGGCAAAAAGCUUAACACUUCACUUGCACCUGCUUUUCAUUAUGUAUAUGUUUGUUUUCUGCAAUGUAGAAAUAGUAGUGGUUGUAAUGAUAUUAGGAUCUGUAUUUUUAGUACUAAUCAUGAUCAUGAUAUAAAAUAUUUAUUUAAUUUUGAUCAUUAGUUAUGUGAUAAUCAUUGGUGUAAUAUAGACUUGUAGUAUUUGUGUUGUUUAAAUUUGUAUUAUACUUUAUUGUUUUUCAAAAAAAAUUUGUGUAUAAACAUUUUGAAUUUAAUGAAAUAUUUUAUUUUGUGG